CCAGCUGUGUGUCCAUGAAGAGUGACCAGUCUAUGAAAGAACCUAUUCACUUCAAAGAUGGACGCCACUCUGCUGAUAAAAGGAUCCAGCAGGAGAGACCAGACUCCCCUGGACCUGGACCUGAGCCCAGCUGUGUGUCCAUGAAGAGUGACUGCUCUAUGGGUCUUCCUAUUGAGUUCAAAGACAGCCGCCUCUUUGAGGAUGAUGGAGUCCAGCAGCAGAGCUCAGAGGUUCCCAGUGC